GGGGGCGUAGUUUAACGGUAGAAUAGAGGUCUCCAAAACCUUUGAUAGGGGUUCGACUCCCUCCGCCCCUGCCA
rnacentral:tRNA from 4 species